GGAUAGUUCAGUUGGUAGAGCAUAAGACUUUUACUGUCAGGGUCGUGGGUUCAAGCCCCGGGUUAGACG